GGAAACGACUGCUAAUACCCGAUGUGCCGCAAGGUGAAAACUAAUUGGCCUGAAGAAGAGCUUGCGUCUGAUUAGCUAGUUGGUGGGGUAAGAGCCUACCAAGGCGACGAUCAGUAGCUGGUCUGAGAGGAUGACCACCCACACUGGGACUGAAACACGGCCCAGACUCCUACGGGAGGCAGCAGUGGGGAAUUUUCCGCAAUGGGCGAAAGCCUGACGGAACAACGCCGCGUGAGGGAGGAAGGUCUUUGGAUUGUAAACCUCUUUUCUCAAGGAAGAAGUUCUGACGGUACUUGAGGAAUCAGCCUCGGCUAACUCCGUGCCAGCAGCCGCGGUAAUACGGGGGAGGCAAGCGUUAUCCGGAAUUAUUGGGCGUAAAGCGUCCGCAGGUGGUCAGCCAAGUCUGCCGUCAAAUCAGGUUGCUUAACGACCUAAAGGCGGUGGAAACUGGCAGACUAGAGAGCAGUAGGGGUAGCAGGAAUUCCCAGUGUAGCGGUGAAAUGCGUAGAGAUUGGGAAGAACAUCGGUGGCGAAAGCGUGCUACUGGGCUGUAUCUGACACUCAGGGACGAAAGCUAGGGGAGCGAAAGGGAUUAGAUACCCCUGUCGUCCUAGCCGUAAACGAUGGAUACUAGGCGUGGCUUGUAUCGACCCGAGCCGUGCCGAAGGUAACGCGUUAAGUAUCCCGCCUGGGGAGUACGCACGCAAGUGUGAAACUCAAAGGAAUUGACGGGGGCCCGCACAAGCGGUGGAGUAUGUGGUUUAAUUCGAUGCAACGCGAAGAACCUUACCAAGACUUGACAUGUCGCGAACCCUGGUGAAAGCUGGGGGUGCCUUCGGGAGCGCGAACACAGGUGGUGCAUGGCUGUCGUCAGCUUGUGUCGUGAGAUGUUGGGUUAAGUCCCGCAACGAGCGCAACCCUUGUUUUUAGUUGCCAGCAUUAAGUUGGGGACUCUAAGGAGACUGCCGGUGACAAACCGGAGGAAGGUGGGGAUGACGUCAAGUCAGCAUGCCCCUUACGUCCUGGGCGACACACGUACUACAAUGGUCGGGACAAAGGGC
rnacentral:rRNA from 1 species